UCCCUAGUGGCUCAGAUGGCAAAGAAUCUGCCUGCAAGGCAGGAGACCUGGGUUCGAUCCCUGGGUUGGGAA
rfam:TPA: Bos taurus chromosome 17, whole genome shotgun sequence.